CACACUUUUUCUCCUCCACCUACUGCAACUGUUCCCAUAAACCUGGUGACAGAGUCAGAAAACUCCUCAGCUAAACAUCCAUAGACUUCAUAUGACCCAAUACUCUAUAUUGUGAUGAUCACACCAGCCAAGGCUACCUAAAAGAAGACAGUUAUCUCAUAUUUGGCUGCCAGUUUUUUCUUUCUCUUGACCGCUUAAAACUUCAGACUUCCUCUCCUGUUGGUGUCAUGGAGAAAGUCCAAUACCUCACUCGCUCAGCUAUAAGAAGAGCCUCAACCAUUGAAAUGCCUCAACAAGCACGUCAAAAUCUACAGAACCUAUUUAUCAAUUUCUGUCUCAUCUUAAUAUGUCUCUUGCUGAUCUGUAUCAUCGUGAUGCUUCUCUGAAGUUCUGCUACAACUCUAGAGCUGCAACGAACCACAUCAGCUUAAAAUCUGUCAUCCCAUGCAGACGGAAAACAAUACUGUGUAACACACCACUUCCUGAGUGUAAGAGUUUCUUUGUGAAAAGGUCAAGAUUAAGACUAAAACUCAUUGUUAGCACAUGUAUUCAUCUGCUGGAUCUUGUAAACAUGAAAAGGGCUUUAUUUUCAAAAAAUAACCUUAAAAUAAGUGUAUAAAAUGUAACUGCUGAUUUCCUCAACAUGGUUCACAAAUUUCUAUCCCAAAUCUUUUCUGAAGAUGAAAUAUGAGUUUAGUUCUGAAACUGCACUGCCAACAAGUUCACUUCAUAUGUAAAGCAUUAUUUUUACUCUUUUGAGGUAAAUAUAAUUUAUAUUACACUGUAAAAGCUUCUUUAGUAUUAAGUAUUUGUCAGGUCUUCACCAAGUAUCAAAGUAAUAAUACAAAUGAAGUGUCAUUAUUCAAAAUAGUCCACUGACUCCUCAUAUCUGUUAUCUUAUUAUAAAGAACUCUUUGUAGUAACUACCAGUAUCGAUAUUCUAAAACAGAAAUUGUAUUUUUUCUGUGCCACAUUAACAUUUUUUAAAGUUGAUGAGAAUCAAGUAUGGAAAAGUAAGGCCAUACUCUUACAUAAUAAAAUUUAUCUUAAGUGAUUUUUUUCAAAGAAUUACAGAAUUCUAGUCCAUGUAGGUAAACCAUAAAUCUGUUCUAAGAUAUUAUGAUCAACAGAUGAGAAUUGGUGGUUAAUAUCUGACAGUGUGAUUAGUCAUAAUCACUAAUGUACUAACAGAAUAGAAUCUAAUCUUCCUUUAAGGUACUGUAGUGAAUUACCUGAGUUGGAGUUACCUAACUUGCCAUAUCUACGGAAUCAUGAAACCAUAAGACUUCAGAAUGAUUUUAUAGUUUGUCUUCUAUUCAAACCCAACAUCCAAUGCAGGCAAAGAAAAUAAUAGAAGAUUUCCAGUGACAGAAAAAGGUUAUCUCAAGUAUUUAAAAGAAAUAAAAAUAUGAAUUUUCUCUCCAAAUAUUAACUAAUUUUUAGAUUACUUUUUUUUUUUAGAUUACAUUUUGAAAUGAACUUGUUGGCCCAUCUGUUAUAUCUACAGCUGACCCCUUAACAUGGGGGUUGGUGAGCUGACAAUCCGUGGGUCCCCAAAAAUCUUAACUACUAAUAGCCUACUAUUGACAAUAAACCUUACUAAUAACAUAAACAGUAAAUUAACACAUAUUUUGCAUGUUUUAUGUAUUAUAUACUCUAUUCCUACAACAAAGUAAGCUAGAGAAAAAAAUCUUAUUUAGAAAAUCAUUAGAAAAUGUAUUUACUAUUCAUUAAACGGAAGUGGGUCAACAUAGAAGUCUUCAUUCUCAUUGUCUUCACACUGAAUAUGCAGAGGAACAAGAGGAGGAGAAAGAUGGGAAGGAAGAGAAGGGAUUGGUCUUGCAGUCUUGUCUUAGGGAUGUGGGGAGUGGGGGAAAAGAAAAUUCAUGUAUAAGUGGACCCUCUCAGUUCAAGUCCUUGUCGUUCUAGCAUCAACUGUAAUAGGAUAUAGCUAUUUUCCUUAAUCAAUCAAUCAAAUGGUAAACAUCUAUUUUGUAAGCCACUCUACUGAGCUAAAUUAUAGAUCCAACAAUGCUAUCUAUAACUAUUUUCUUGAUGAAUAAAUUUUCAAUUUCUCCUCUGAUCAUUUCAGAACAUCUUCCAAUAACUCACAAAACAACUGAAGUAAAAUUUAGUGCUGACAAAUAUAUUCACCAAACUUUGGUAAUUUAAGUUGACUAAAGUUUAAAAUUAAGUCUAAACUGUAUAAUCCAACAAUUUUAAUUCCAACUGAAGACAUGUUACUAAUAUAACUAUUAUUAAAAGGGCAGAUGAUAUAUAAUUAACCAUAUCCUCUAAAACAUGGUUACUAAAAGAAUAUGAAGCAUCAAUAUUGAUCUUGGUUUCUUAUACAAGUGCUGCUAACUGAAUAGUGAAGGAGACAUUAUUAAAUUUUCUGAAACCAUGAGAGGUACUAGAGAUGGGAGCGGAAAGGGUUUGGUUCAGGGAUACCUGAAUAACGGAUGGGCAGAGUUUUCUUAAGCGAAACCUCAUCUACAAGUUGGAAAUCCAUAAUAACAAGUAGAAAGCUUAUAAACAACAGGUAAUACACUCACCUUACUGGUUUUAGUAAAUUACCAAUACAAAAAGUAUCCAAGUUCUAUAAUAAGCUGCACUGGUCUUAAAAACAAGUGGAUAAUUUGAACUGAUUAGUCAUAGUCCUUUCAUUACAUUGUUCAUUACAGUAUUUUCCUCAGUAAACAGAAAUAAGUAUUUUUUUUUGUUCUUCAUUGUUUGAUAGAAAUUAAAAUCUUAUUCUGUGAGGAUUACAGAAUACUACAUUAUAACUCAAAUUAUAAAAAUAUAGGGCCAGGCGCAAUGGCUCAUGCCUGU